CCCACCGCGCGCACAGCCUGACUCCCCUUUGAGCGACAUCCCCAGCAGUGCAUUUUCCUGAGUGUCGAUUGCCGUCUGAUUGUUGUAGUUUGUGUCUACAGCAGCUACUGUAUAUACACCCCAAAGGCUCUUUUAAGAGCCACAUCACGAGAGCGUCUUUGGCUUUUGGCACCUACAUACAACCCAAAGGCUCUUUUCAGAGCCACAUCGCCCAGCAUCCUUGGCUUUCACCUACAUACACCCCAAGGCUCUUUUCAGAGCCACUCGCCUAGCAUCACACAGCAUUAUUUUGUGUCAUCCUCCACUGCCGCCUCCACAGAGUUUUUUCCCUGCCAGCUAUUACUUUAAGAUGACUGAGGCAGAAGAAGAGAAAGACGAUUACAGAGGAAAAUGAUUAUAAACAUUUUGUAGUUAGCUGGUAGUAAUUUAUAGUUAUAGGUAAUUUAGUUAAUUUAUUUGUUCAUGCUAGAUGCUUG